CUGCCCAAUGAUAAUUUAAAUGGCCGCAGUAUUUUGACUGUGCAAAGGUAGCAUAAUAAAUAGUUUUUUAAUUGAAGACUAGAAUGAAAGAGUGGAUGAAAUUUAAACUGUCUCUAAUUAAAUAAUAAAAAUUUAUUUUAAGUAAAAAAUCUUAAAUAAUUUUGAGGGACGAGAAGACCCUAUAGAAUUUAAAAAUUUUAAUUAAAUGAAAAUAAUAAUUUAAAAUUUAAAUUUAAUUAAAUAUUUUUUAUUGGGAGGAUAUUAAAAUUUAAUAAACUUUUAAUUUUAAAAAACAUAAAUUAAUGGAUUUGUUAAUAUAUUUAUAUAAAUAAAAUAAAAUUACCUUAGGGAUAACAGCGUAAUAAAUUUUUAAAGUUCAAAUUAAAAAAUUUGAUUGCGACCUCGAUGUUGAAUUAAAAUAAAAUUUAAGUGAAGAAGCUUAAUAUUUAAGUCUGUUCG
rnacentral:rRNA from 1 species